rnacentral:rRNA from 1 species
CCAGACUCCUACGGGAGGCAGCAGUGAGGAAUAUUGGUCAAUGGCCGGAAGGCUGAACCAGCCAAGCCGCGUGAAGGACGAAGGUGCCAAGCAUUGUAAACUUCUUUUGUCAAGGGACAAAAUCAGGCUCGAGAGCCUGACCGAGGGUACUUGAAGAAAAAGCAUCGGCUAACUCCGUGCCAGCAGCCGCGGUAAUACGGAGGAUGCGAGCGUUAUCCGGAUUUAUUGGGUUUAAAGGGAGCGUAGGCCGGCUUUUAAGUCAGCUGUGAAAGUCCGCGGCUCAACCGUGGAAUUGCAGUUGAAACUGGAGGCCUUGAGUGCACACAGGGAUGCCGGAAUUCAUGGUGUAGCGGUGAAAUGCUUAGAUAUCACGCAGAACCCCGAUUGCGAAGGCAGCCUUCCGGCGCCCUACUGACGCUGAGGCACGAAAGUGCGGGGAUCGAACAGGAUUAGAUACCCUUGUA